AUCCAUCUGACGAGUUCCAAUUAGGACGAAAUACCUUUUCCUGGAU
rnacentral:hammerhead_ribozyme from 1 species